AACCAUAGAAACAAUUGAGAAGGCUCAAGAAAAGAAAUUUAAUCCAAGUUUAAAGGAUGAAUCAGCGUUAGUGGUGGUCCUGCCUGAACAGUUAGAUUGUGAAGAUGAUUGGAUUGAUGACUUGGAAGAAGAUUAUUGGAUCAAUGACUCAGAAGAGGACAUCGUGUUUCACAAAGAGUCUUCAGGGCGGACUUCGCAGAGGGAGGAACUAUUAGAAUUAGAAGAAGUGUUUGAAGAAAUGCAAACACUGCAGAGGGUGAAUCUGCUAGAGUAGAUACCGCAGAUGAUAGAUCUGCUGGAUUAAACACCGCAGAGGGUGGAACUGCUAGAUUUGAAAGAAACAAAAGAAAAAUUGUUAGAGAAAAUUGUGGAAGCACAACGAAGUCUCGAGGAAUCCGAAGAUCUAAAGAUAUCAAGUGAUAAAGAAGAGUUGAUUAGCAUAAUACAGAGUUAUGCACAAAAUGACAUUAAUUGGGAAAUACAAGUGAAUGAAUAUAUUUGAAGCAGCAAAUGCAUUAAGUGAAGAACAGAGCGCUUCGAAAUUCGUCAAGGUAAAGUUGGACGAGAAGAAGAAGAAAAAGGUUAAAAUGAAAAGUUGGUGCUGAAGGGGAGAAUUGAAGAAAUCAUCAUCAACUUUAAAUAUCUAGAAUUUGCUAGACUAAGCAUGUAGAAUAUUCUAGAGACUCAUUGGAAAUAAAGACCAUUACCAUUCAUGAAAAAUCUAGAGAAUAGAAUUGUGAAGACAAUGUUAGAAUUCUCUAGAAAAAUGUAGGUAGUAAACUCCACCUCCAUAAUUUGCCUAUAUAUAUGUGUGUUGGUUAAAUGUAAAUGUGUGUAUGAUGAGAGAAAGUGUAGAAAAAGAGUAUAGAGAAAGAGAGUGAAAAGAGAGUGUAGCAAGUGAUAGAGAAAAAUAUUGUGAGUGCUCCAUUUCUAAGUAAGUGAGGUUAGUGAUCUUAGUGUGUAUAAAAAAUUGUGUAAAAUUUUAUCUUAUCAAUAAAAAUUACUUUCUUUUGGUAUUUAAAUUUAACAGACACCACCUUUCUCAACACCAAAGUCGCCUGAUG
rnacentral:lncRNA from 1 species